CCUACGGGUGGCAGCAGUGAGGAAUAUUGGUCAAUGGGCGGAAGCCUGAACCAGCCAAGUCGCGUGAGGGAUUAAGGCCCUGCGGGUCGUAAACCUCUUUUGCAGGGGAGCAGAGGUCCGGACGUGUACGGGCCGGGAGAGUACCCGGAGAAAAAGCAUCGGCUAACUCCGUGCCAGCAGCAGCGGUAAAACGGGGGUUGGGAGCGUUAUCCGGAUUGAUUGGGUUGAAAGGGUGCGUAGGCGGGGUAUUAAGCCGGCGGUCAAAUGUCGGGGCUCAAACCCGGCCUGCCGUUGUAACUGGGUGCCUUGAGUGUGCGAGAAGUAUGCGGAAUGCGUGGUGUAGCGGUGAAAUGCAUAGAUAUCACGCAGAACCCCGAUUGCGAAGGCAGCAUACCGGCGCCCUACUGACGCUGAGGCACGAAAGUGCGGGGAUCGAACAGGAUUAGAUACCCGUGUAGUC
rnacentral:rRNA from 1 species